CUCAAUGUCUUGAAGAGUCCUCUUGUCUUCUUCUGUCACCAUGUUAAUAGCCACACCUUUACGGCCAAACCGUCCACCUCGACUGAUUCUGUGGAUAUAGUUUUCCCUGUUGGUGGGAAGGUCAUAGUUGAUGACUAAAGAAACCUGCUGCACAUCAAUGCCUCUGGCCAGCAGGUCAGUUGUAAUCAAAACUCUGCUAGAGCCAGAAUGAAACUCCCUCAUGAUCACGUCUUGCUCCUUUUGGUCCAUAUCUCCAUGCAUGGCGGAGACAGUGAAAUCUCGAGCAUGCAUCUUCUCAGUGAGCCAGUCCACCUUCCUCCGGGUGUUGAUGAAGACCUUCUUGACAAGAAUCCGAAUGGGGUCCCUCAUGAACUUCUUGAUCACCUCAAGCAUAUCAGAAGGCAUUGUAGCUGACAGCAAAACUACCUGGGUGUUGCUGUUGAGCUUUUGGAAUAUGUCAUAGAUCUGGUCCUUGAAUCCACGGCUUAACAUUUCAUCAGCUUUAUCCAGUACAAACAUCUUGAUGUAUUUGGGAGACAGGUAUCUCUGGUUAAGCAUAUCAAACACACGGCUAGGGGUACCCACGAUGAUGUGGGGAGCUUCCAUCUGCAGUUUCUGCACCUCAGCACGCAUAUUGGUGCCCCUGACACAGGCAUGACAGGAGGCACCCAUGUAGUCUACUAGUGCCAUGACCACCUUCUGUAUCUGCUGAGCCAAUUCUCGAGUGGGUGCUAGGACCAAGGCCUGGGUGGCUUUUAGAUCUAAUUCAAUCUGCUGCAGAAUCGAUAUGGCAAAUGUGGCCGGGCUCCAUCCCAUCGGGGCCAUUGUCUCUGGAUCAGGAAUCCUGGCUCACAGA
rnacentral:lncRNA from 1 species